rnacentral:rRNA from 1 species
GAUGAACGCUGGCGGCGUGCCUAAUACAUGCAAGUCGAGCGAACAGACGAGGAGCUUGCUCCUCUGACGUUAGCGGCGGACGGGUGAGUAACACGUGGAUAACCUACCUAUAAGACUGGGAUAACUUCGGGAAACCGGAGCUAAUACCGGAUAAUAUAUUGAACCGCAUGGUUCAAUAGUGAAAGACGGUUUUGCUGUCACUUAUAGAUGGAUCCGCGCCGCAUUAGCUAGUUGGUAAGGUAACGGCUUACCAAGGCAACGAUGCGUAGCCGACCUGAGAGGGGGAUCGGCCACACUGGAACUGAGACACGGUCCAGACUCCUACGGGAGGCAGCAGUAGGGAAUCUUCCGCAAUGGGCGAAAGCCUGACGGAGCAACGCCGCGUGAGUGAUGAAGGUCUUCGGAUCGUAAAACGCUGUUAUUAGGGAAGAACAAAUGUGUAAGUAACUAUGCACGUCUUGACGGUACCUAAUCAGAAAGCCACGGCUAACUACGUG